AAGACAGUGGUGCAAUGGACAACGCUCCUGACUAUGGAUCAGGAGACUGCAGGUUCAACUCCUGCCUGGCUCA
rnacentral:tRNA from 1 species